rnacentral:rRNA from 1 species
UUCCAGCUCCAAUAGCGUAUAUUUUAGUUGUUGCAGUUAAAAAGCUCGUAGUUGAAUUUCUGGUGGGAAGAUGCGGACGGCCUCAUGGCUUGUUCCAAGUCUUCCGGCCAUCCUUGGGUGGAGCUCGUCUGGCAUUAAGUUGUCGGGCGGGGGAUGCCCAUCGUUUACUGUGAAAAAAUUAAAGUGUUCAAAGCAGACUUAUGUCGUUGAAUAUAUUAGCAUGGAAUAAUAAGAUAGGACAGCAGUGCUAUUUUGUUGGUUUGCGCACCGUUGUAAUGAUGAAUAGGGACAGUUGUGGGUAUUUAUAUUCACUUGUAAGAGGUGAAAUUCUUAGAUUAAGGGAAGAUAAACUACUGCGAAAGCAUUUACCAAGGAUGUUUUCAUUG